GUAGGUUACGGCGACAUUCAGCCUCGCACAUGGAUGGGACAAAUCCUGGGUUGUUGUUGUGCUAUGUGUGGUGUGUUAGUCAUAGCUCUUCCUGUAUCUGUCCUUGGAACGAAC